GAUGAACGCUGGCGGCGUGCCUAACACAUGCAAGUCGAGCGAGGGUUUGCUCAGUAUUGAGUAUUCUAAGACUAGAAUGUUCAAUUCUGAGCAAAACCAAGCGGCGGACGGGUGAGUAACGCGUGGGUAACCUGCCCUAUACACAUGGAUAACAUACUGAAAAGUUUACUAAUACAUGAUAAUAUAUAUUUGUGGCAUCGCAGAUAUAUCAAAGUGUUAGCGGUAUAGGAUGGACCCGCGUCUGAUUAGCUAGUUGGUGAGAUAACUGCCCACCAAGGCGACGAUCAGUAGCCGACCUGAGAGGGUGAUCGGCCACAUUGGAACUGAGACACGGUCCAAACUCCUACGGGAGGCAGCAGUGGGGAAUAUUGCACAAUGGGCGAAAGCCUGAUACAGCAACGCCGCGUGAACGAUGAAGGUCUUCGGAUCGUAAAGUUCUGUUGCAGGGGAAGAUAAUGACGGUACCCUGUGAGGAAGCCCCGGCUAACUACGUGCCAGCAGCCGCGGUAAUACGUAGGGGGCUAGCGUUAUCCGGAUUUACUGGGCGUAAAGGGUGCGUAGGUGGUCCUUCAAGUCGGUGGUUAAAGGCUACGGCUCAACCGUAGUAAGCCGCCGAAACUGGAGGACUUGAGUGCAGGAGAGGAAAGUGGAAUUCCCAGUGUAGCGGUGAAAUGCGUAGAUAUUGGGAGGAACACCAGUAGCGAAGGCGGCUUUCUGGACUGCAACUGACACUGAGGCACGAAAAGCGUGGGUAGCAAACAGG
rnacentral:rRNA from 1 species